GGACUCCUGUGGUGUAGGCUCUGCUAGCUGUGACUGACCCAUCAGCUGUGGCUGACCUCAAGCUGUGGAGGAGUAGAGAGAUCUGUGAGGCAGGAAUGAGUUCCGUGGAAUGCUGUGGGCAGGAGAGAGGGGAAGCUGAGCCAGGGUGGGCAGGACAGGAGAGGAAGAGAGGCUGAGAGCGAGCUGAAGUUGGAUCAUGUCCAUGGGGACUUUGACAUCUGUCCAUCUGUUUAACUGUCCAGGAGUCUUGGGCAUGGGGAGCACUGGGCUUGUCUCUCUUAGGACUUCCUCUGGCUGUGAUCCUGGCCUUGUCCCGUCCUCAUAACCACAGUGUCCUGGAACUCACUUUGUAGAAGUGGCGAGAGCUCUUAAGUGGCCUAGAAGUAUCCGGCUGGCUCAGAUCAGGGUGACUCAUGGCCAUGGUUCAGGAAGCAUGGGGAUGAUGCAGCAGGCGUAUGUAACAACUGACUCAAGAAGACUCCUGGACACUUUACAAUGGGACCUGGAUGCCGGGCCUGAACAAGCUGGCUGUCCCCAGAGCUCAUGACAUUUGAUCUUCAACCCAAGGACAGCCCAUGCUUCCUGUGGUUGCUGUCUUUUGGUUUGUCGGUGCCUCUGUCCCCUGUUGGGCUCCUUGGAGGGAGCUUGCUUGCAAGCAGACGGAUGGAAGCCCACCUGACCUGUCUAGCUGUGGCCACUUCCUCCUUCCCAGCUCAGCCUUUGCUGUGAGAGCUCGGAGUGAAUGCCUUUGAGACCAAACAACAGGAAACCACGAAGCAGGGUCUUAUUACAUGGCCCAGGCUAGCCCAGCACUCACUAUGUAUGUAGCCUGAGCUGACCUAGAUCUUCUGGAUGUUUUCCUGCCCCAAAUACUAGGAUGGAUUUUAUUUUCCCUUACCACCCAGCCAAACAAUGAGAUGCGGGUACAUUGGAGGUGUGAGGCCAGGAACAGGAGCACACCAGGAUGAAGGAGCACACCAGGAUGAAGGAGCACACCAGGAUGAAGGAGCACACCAGGAUGAAG
rnacentral:lncRNA from 1 species